AAACUGCAGACAUGUUUUGAUUGUGUUCUUUCUUGGAGUCUGACUUGCAUCUUUUCUGUUUCAAGGAUGGUGCCGUUGACAUUGAAGGGCUCAAAUGUGAAAUCCUUUGCAAGGCUCUCCAGAGAGACGACUGGUCCUCUGUGGAUGGGAGCGACGACCCAGUCGAAGCAGCAAAGGACAGCAUCUUUGUCAAGAUCUUGCAGAAGCUCAUUAAAGAGGGGGUUUGUCUGCAGACUUACUUGCCUGACGUCGAUGCCCUGCUUCAGUCAGAAGAGCUGGAGAGACUGCGGUCCAAGACCUACUUUGAGUUUGCUCUGCGGGCCAACUAUGAACACUAUCUGCAAGCCCAGACAUGAGCUGACCGAGCGCCUCUCCCAACUGUGACUCCACUCAGCUCGUGGCCUCCCGGGCCCUUCGUUUUUAGUCUUCUAAAAACUAAUUUCCCAUUUUGUAAUAAACUUUGCCGAAUUUCUGUUCUCUCCCCUGUUCUUCGUCGUCAUCCGAAAGUCCUAGCACAAAGCUUAAUGGAGUUGAAGCAAGGGCAGAGUUUGUUUAUAUGUUUAUUAUUAAAAGAUUUUCAAUUUUCUGUAUAAAGCAACUGUUUAUAGUUUACAGUUACAAUGAAUAGUAAUGGAGACUUACUAAAAUAUUGUUACACAUGUCUGUGUAGUAUCUGCUGUUGUUGAAAGAUUGAGUGCAAAGUGCAAAAUCUUUUAUUACCUUAAUGAGCCUGAAAAAUGGUCAGCUACCCUCUUGAUAUAAUGAGAUCGUUUAUAACUGUCAUUAAUUUCCACUGUGCUUAGUUUCUUAUGCCUUAAUGGCAUAAUGAAAUAUUUAGAGAAAAGGCUUCUGUUUCUUAAAAGUCCAUGCCUUGUAAAAAAUGGCUUUGCAACUAUCAGAAUGAGCAUACACCCCUUCUACACAGGAGUGAAUGCUGCUGGAAUAUAGUGCUGUAGGAAAAACCUGACUGUACAGGCACCGAUUUCCAUUGAUCCUGAAGAGCUUCAUGGAUCAAUAAGCACCUCGGGAAGCUGCUUGGAAGAAAUCAUGCAGAGCUCUGUCUAACCUCUGAGCUGUUAGGCAAGGCAAGCCAAGCCACCAGCUUCAUGUGGCAGGAGCUGAGCCGAAAGCAGCAAUGCUCCAAACAGAUGUCGCCGUGUCUUCAAGUUGCUAAAAUAGGAAAGGAGAGUUAAAUCAGGGACAUCUGCAAUAAAUUAAAUGCUGAAUGUGACAGAUUUCCCCGUCGCUCAAUAUGGAAGUUCUGUGCAGAAUUGUAAUGUUGUAUAGCUUCAUGGUCGUUGGCAAAUAAUUUUACUUCUGCUUCCUUAAAGGCUCUUAAUCAUUCCAAGUAGCGUUUUCCAUGUAAUCACUUGACAAAAAGUGUGUAAUGCAAGGAGUCCAAAGUGUUUCUUUUUCAAAUAAAAAUACUUUUAUGUAACCUAAUGCUUAAACUAAUCUAAAUUUAAAAGUAUUACAGUGAUGCAUGUAUGGUGCUUUUCAGACUUCUCUGCCUCCCUUGGAACACAGGCUCUUUCCAGACUCACUUUCAGGGGUUGUCAGAUUUAGAAAUCUGUCCCUCAGAUAGUUAGGUUGAAAAACAGCAAUAAAAUAUUUUGUGACUCAUUGAUAUGCAGAAGUGUGUAAAAUGAACUUUGGGGGCAGAUCGAGGCCGGGAGCUGUGUCCAGUCUCUGUCCAGCUUUGCUGUCCUGCACUUUGCUUCCCGGAUACAUGGUCAGCAGAGGAUCAAUCCUCUACUGGAA
rnacentral:lncRNA from 1 species